rnacentral:lncRNA from 1 species
AGUAUUGAUCUAAUUUUCGAUGGCCAAAUCAAAACUAAACAGCAACCAAUCUCUGGUGAGGAAGGAUCAAAGGAGUGGAGGCCUUUACAUAGACCUCUAAGGGAUGAGUCAGACUUUGAUUUCAAUUAGAUUUUCGGAUGGUUUUGGAUCUCCCGAUCGGAAGAGAACUCCUUCGGGAGUUCUGUUUACUCACUCACAACCCAGCUUCCCACCAUAUUUCCUAGCUUCCCAGC